AACUAAGGAAACAGUCAGGACAAGAAGCUGGAAUUUCAACUUCUUGAGCAAUAACAGCUGAAGUGCUUGCUACGGCCUCCAUGUCUAAGAACGAACUGAAAUUUCUGGGCAAGAAAAUGUAUUGUCGCGCUGAGAAAAUUUUCAAACACCUGCACCAUUGGCCAAAGUUGAUGAGGUGUCAGCAAAUGAAACUCUGAUUGGCCAAACGUGUAAGACGUCAUAGUGGACUAGUUUGUCUGCGGAUUAUAGUAGUUACAGGGCUCAUUAGAGCUAAAAAAAAGACACAGUCAACAAUAACAACAGACUUAGAAAAAUUCUGGGAGGAAGACAAGAGUAGCAUUUCAGCCGAACUGCAAAACUGACUGAAGGUCACACAACAAGAGUCCUGCCUUUUAGGUCAUGUAUAUAUAGGGUGUAUGUGACAUAUUUGCCACUGGAAAUCCUUACAGGAUGGUUGGAGAUGACCUGUGGCAAGUGUCCUGUCCAACGGCAGGGAGGUAGAAGGACCUUCAGAUGACACCCCUGCUCAGAUGGGUGCUCUCGGCCCAAACCUCGUAGUUCACAUUCUCUGCUGUUGGUACUGCAUCUUAAGCAGCCGCUGAAUGACAGUGGGAGAAACGCCUCCUGAUAGAAAAUAGGCCUUCCCUAAAGUCAUCACUGUGUAGUAUGUAGUUGAGUCUAGCAUGCCGCCUGCUCUCAGAGAUUUCAACCUCAUUUGCCAAAGCUAAUGGAAACUAUGAUUGGCAAGUGGAAUCUUGGACACGCAAAGGAACACCAGAAGAUUUGGUCACAGAAGACAUUCUUCAGGACCAUUUUAUUUUUCAAGCUCUCAUUUGGUAUUGUCAUCAUGACUCAAGGCAUUGAACUGAUCAGUGAAGUGUUAGCCCUUAGGCCUUCCCUAAAGUCAUCACUGUGUAGUAUGUAGUUGAGUCUAGCAUGCCGCCUGCUCUCAGAGAUUUCAACCUCAUUUGCCAAAGCUAAUGGAAACUAUGAUUGGCAAGUGGAAUCUUGGACACGCAAAGGAACACCAGAAGAUUUGGUCACAGAAGACAUUCUUCAGGACCAUUUUAUUUUUCAAGCUCUCAUUUGUUAUUGUCAUCAUGACUCAAGGCAUUGAACUGAUCAGUGAAGUGUUAGCCCUUAGAAACUAUGAUUGGCAAGUGGAAUCUUGGACAUGCAAAGGAACACCAGAAGAUUUGGUCACAGAAGACUUCUUCAGGACCAUUUUAUUUUUCAAGCUCUCAUUUGGUAUUGUCAUCAUGACUCAAGGCAUUGAACUGAUCAGUGAAGUGUUAGCCCUUAGGUUAGAAGCUCAAGAUAUCUAAGCAUAAGUGGAUCAGAUAUGACAGUGAUUCCUCAAGAACUCUCACGAUCAGGGCUGGGCAGGAUGGGAUGUCCUCUCUACCCACCAAUCAGGCCUGGGCAGGAAGUGAUGUCCUCUCCAACCAACCACCAGUGGGGCCGGGGCAGGAAGUGAUGCCCUCUCUACCCACCAGAGUACCAUUACUUGACAUUUCUUAAUAGUGUCCACAUCAUUCCACUGGUGUGUCUGCUUUUAGGACAUGUGGACAGUCUCUCAGCCUGGCUGACUUGAAGCUUCCAAUUAUAAUUCACACAUCCUUUUUGGAUACUGCUGCAGCCAGGAUGCAAAUGGACCCCAGUUUCUCAUUGCCAGAGAAGUGGCAGAGGCGGCGAAGGCUCUGCCGCAGAAGUGGCAGAGGAGGCGAAGGCUCUGGUAAAGCCCCCAACUAAUAUAUGGCUGUCCACUGACCCUGGUGGACUCCCAAACAACACCAAUAGGUAAUACAUCCAGAGUGUACUGGCAGAGGUGUAUGGCCAGCAUUGCACCGGUUAAGCAUAUAUGGGAGUUUGAUAUGGAGCGCCAAGGUGCUGAAUGUUACUCAAUAAAGUAUUCAUCUGGCACUUGGUGACUUUGUAUCUACCCGAUCCAUACAAUUCAGCACCUGCUACCCAUGGUUGAGGGAAUUUUGAUUGGACAUUCUACACAUCCCUGCUAGUCAAGAUGGAUCGAGCCAAGACAGUGCGUACAUCGGAGAGGAGGAAAUUCAACCGAGCCCUGAAACUGUUCGACGAGAUUGUGAAGCAAGACGACUCGACAGAGAUUUUGAAGCCUGCAUUUGAUGAGGUCUGUGACGCCUAUAAGAGGUUAGAAAAGGCUAAUGAUGAGUUUAUUUCGUGCAUUGAUGAGUCUCAUGAGAAUUAUGUUAGCCUAUUAGAAUCGGCUGAGGAUUAUAUAAUUGAAGUGUAUAGGUUGAAAUGUAAGGCACAUUCUCAAAUACUUGCGAAAAUACAGUGAAAAGGGUAAGCAAAAAACAGACAACACAAAGUUUAUAGUUAAGAAGCUUGAACCUCCUAGAUUUGAUAACACAAAUAAGGCUGUACCCAUCCUUUAGAAAGGACUUUGACAGAUUAAUGAUUAAGAACUAUGGGGAGGAUCCAUAUGUCCUUAAGCAGUGUUUGUUAGGCGAAGCCUUGAAAGUGGUACUUGGGGUUGAUGAUGAUUUCCAUAAGAUGAUGGCCAGACUUGAUGAAAAAUUUGGAAAUGUAACAAAGGUGGUGGACUCUGUUUUGUGUGAGAUAAGAGCCCUUAAAGGCAACAACAAAAAACUUGUGGAAUUGGUGAAUACUGUGGAGAGGGGAUGGCUUGAUAUGUGUAAGCUAGAUCUUAAAUCAGAAAUGAAUAACACUACUGUAAUUAGCUUAGUAGAAAAGCUCUUACCCCCAACAUUGAAAAGGGAAUGGGUUUUAAAAGCUAGUGAGUCCCAAAGUGAGAAGGAAUUUGGAAAAUUAUUAGAAUUUUUAGAAAAAGAAAGGAAGGUAAUAGAGUAUGUGCAGGAAGGAGUGAGGUCAAGUACAACUACUGAUAGGGCAGCAGUGCACAAUGCGACUCAUGAGGAUCACUGUUAUUCAGAUAAUUUGAAUGAAGCAAUUAAGCAGUUAAGAGAAAACCAAGAGUCACAACAACAACAAUUAAAUGAAUGUAUUGUAAACAUGAACCAAAUUGCUUCAAACUUAUCAAAUCAAGCUAGGAGUAGACCUAACAUGUCACCUAACAUUAAUAAGAACUGUUGGUUUCAUGGUACAGCUUCCCAUAGCAUUUUGGAUUGUUCAGGGUUUCAGCACUUGGAUAAUAAAUCUAAAUAUGAGCUGUUAAAAAGCAAUAGAGUAUGCUUCAUCUGCUCACGAAAGGGACAUGUCAGUAGUGACUGUUUGAACAGAGAGUUAUGUCAUAUUAAAGAUCAAAAUAAUGAAGUAUGCGGCAGACCUCACCACCCUAUUCUCCAUUCUUUGUUUGUACAAAAUUAUUUCACCAGUCGAGUACAGGGAUCAAAUAACUUAUUGUCGAGGGAGGGAGUAUUGUUGAUGAUUGGGCAUAUGCAGAGUAAAGGGCAAAAGGUGGCAACAUUGUGGGAUACAGGUUCAAAUUUAACCAUGAUUACGCAUCGGAUGGCAAACAAGUUGGGUUUGAAAGGGAAAGAUGUAAGUCUCACUGUAACUAAAGUUGGAAAUAGCACUGAGCUGUUUGACAGUAAAGUUUAUAAUGUGCCAAUUACUGAUUUGACUGGUACUGAAUGGACUAUUGAAGCUUGUGGUAUCAAUGAAAUUACAUCUGACAUUGCAGAAUUUGACACCACAUUGAUAGCUAAAUUAUUUGGUGUAGAGGAGUGGAACAUUUGUCGGCCAACAGGCAAGGUAGAUUUGUUAAUUGGCGUGGAUCACAGUAGCAUGAUACCUCAAGUGGUUAGAACCAUUGAUACCUUACAGCUAAUGCAAAACAAUUUUGGAAUGUGUGUAAGAGGUUCAUAUCCAGUUAUGAAUAAGAAUAUGGGUACUAAUAGUGUCUUAACGGUAAGGAUUAGCCACAUGACUGUAGCUACUGAGGUCAAUGACAUCAUACCACGAUACAGUGAGAACCUCUCAAAACAGUUAGAAGAUUUUUUUUCAGUUGAAAAUUUUGGAACUUCAUGUAUACCUAAAUGUAGUGGUUGUAAAUGUGGGAAGUGUUCAUUGAGUGGGGAACAUAGCUUGAAGGAGGAAAUGGAAUUAAAACAGAUAGAAGGAGGACUUGAUUAUGAUUCAAUAAAUGGGUAUUGGAUUGCAAGCUAUCCAUGGAUUAAGGAUCCUAACAAACUCCCUAAUAAUGUUUCCCUUGCAUAUGGAAGACUAAAAUCUACUGAACGAAGGUUAAUAAAGCUCGGGAGCGAUUACUCUAAAAAAAUAUAAUGAUCAGAUUUUAGAUAUGGUUCAUAGGGAAGUUGCUAGAAAAUUGAACAUAGAUGAGAUAAGUAAUUAUAAUGGUCCCGUUCACUACUUGCCCCACCAUGAAGUCCACAAGCCAGACUCAGUUUCUACCCCUUUGAGAAUUGUGUUCAACUCUUCUUCCCCUUACCUUGGUCACGUACUUAAUGAUUACUUUGCAAAGGGCCCUGAUGUGCUAAACAACAUGAUUGCUAUACUGAUACGUUUUAGGCAACAUGCUGUGGCCCUCGUAGCAGAUAUUAAGAAAAUGUACAACUCUGUACGAAUUUCAGAACUUGAUCAACAUACUCAUAGGUUUUUGUGGCGGGACUUAGAAACUGACAGAGAGCCAGAUCACUAUGUGCUUACUACUGUGACCUUUGGUGAUAGACCUAGUGGCAUAAUAGCAAUGAUAGCCUUACGGAAAACCACCGAGAUGGAUGAAUCCUUUCCCUUAACUGCAGAGUUGAUCAAUCGCAACUCGUAUGUUGAUGAUAUACUGUCAAGUGUAUCGACGGUUGAAAGGGCUAAGAGAAGUAUUGUAGAAGCUAAUGCAAUAUUAUCUCGGGGAGGAUUUCAGAUCAAGCACUGGGUUAUGUCAGGUGAGAGUCCAGAAGAUAAUUUUCUUAACAUCUUGAAAACUGAUAAGGAAAAGGUACUGGGGUUGAACUGGAAUCCUAAGGAGGACCUGUUUUUCUGUGAUAAAGAUAAGUUUCUCUAAGAAAGUAAAAAAUAUUCGAAUGGAGCCACCCAUAAAGAAAUCAGAAAUCGAUGAGAAACUCCCAAAUACGUUAAAUCGAAGGAUGGUACUCCGUCAAACUGCUUCGGUAUAUGAUCCCCUUGGGUUCAUUGUGCCAUUCACCUUGAAAGCAAAGUUGCUUAUGCGAGAUUUACUAACCACCAUCAGUGAAAAUGAGCGAAGAUUAGCUUGGGAUGAAGCAAUGCCAUAGUAUAUGUAUGAAAGAUGGAGAAAGUUAUUUAAAGAAAUGUAUGAGUUAGAAACUGACAUUCCAUAGAUGUGUGAAGCCUAAAGACGCCGUUGGUAAGCCUGAUUUAGUCAUUUUUGCAGAUGCAAGUAAGUUAGCUUAUGGAGCCUGUGCGUACUUGAGGUGGAAAGUGAGGGAAGGACCCUUUGUAAGUAAACUCUUGAUGGCAAAGAAUAGGAUUGCCCCUACUCGACAGCUCACCAUCCCACAGUUAGAGUUGUGUGGGACUGUGUUGGCCUGCCGGUUGAGGACUGUGAUUGAGAAGGAAAUAGACAUUGAACUUGAGUCAAUCAUACAUAUUAUUGAUUCAUCUAUUGUCAGAGCACAAAUUUGUAAUAAGUCAAGCAGUUUUAAUAUUUUUGUCGCUACUAGAGUAGCAGAAAUUCAAACUAAAUCAAAAUCUGUUGAAUGGUUUUGGACAUCCUCAGGAAAUAAUCCAGCAGACUUAACUACAAGGCCUACACACCCUAUGCUUUUAGAUUCUGAUUCUUUAUGACAGAAUGGACCCCCAUUUAUGUGUUUACCUGUUAGUGAAUGGCCCAUCAGUCAGUCAAAUGAUCUCGAACUACCAGAUAUUGCUCCAGUCAAAAUUGUAAAUAAUCUAUAUAGGGAUAAUACUGUUAUAAUUGAUGUAAAUAGAUAUGGUAGUUACAGUAAGCUUUUAAGAGUGACUGCCAAGAGUUUUGAAGGCAGUUAGGUUGAGGUCAUUUAAAGGUGUCUUUUUGGUUCCUCACUCAGAUGAUAUGAAAGUAGCAGAGGAUAUAUGGGCGGGGUGGGUCCAGAAGACUAGCAGGUGACUGGGAAAAGAGAUAUGAGAGACUUGGAGCUGUGAUGAAUGAGGAAGGUUUAAUAUGUGUUGGUCAAAGGAUUUCAGUAUGGCUGAAGGAUAAUUGGAACAGGAGUACAUUUGUGUUGUUACCUGUGAGGCAUUCAUUCACAAGAUUGUAUGUUAAACACAUCCAUGAGAUAGAUCAUGCUGGUGUAGAGGUAACCUUAGCCAAAUUGCAAUCCAAGUUUUGGGUGCCUGGAGCCAGGAAACUUAUGAAGUCAGUGAAGGCUCGGUGUGUCAUUUGUCGUAAAUUGGCUAAGAAGACUGAAGAGCAAUGCAUGGGUCAGUGUCCAUCUGAGAGACUUCAACCCGCCCCACCCUUUUUUAAUACAGCUAUUGAUUUGUUUGGACCAUUUAUUGUGAAAGACACGGUCAAGAGGCGCACUAGAAAAAGGGUUUAUGGGAUAAUCUUUAAUUGUAUGGUGAGUAGAGCUGUGUACUUAGAUUUAGCAGAGGGUUAUGAUACAGAGAAUUUUUUAAUGACAUUACGUGGGUUUGUCUCCAUAAGAGGAUUUCCAAAGCAUAUGCAUUCAGAUGGAGGCACACAGUUAGUAGCAGCUAACAAAGAAUUGCGAACUAUGGCCAGGAACUGGAAUAUGACACAAAUUUCAGAGUUUGGUAGUGUUUUCGGAAUGAGUUGGACAUUCAACAAGUCUGCAGAUGCUCCAUGGGAGAAUGGGUGCAGCGAAUCUCUGAUAAAGUCUGUAAAGAGAUGUAUUAUGAUGUCUGUUGGUACUAAUAUUCUUUCAUGGAGUGAGCUUCAGACUUGUAUGUUUGAGAUUGCCAAUUUAAUGAAUAGCCGUCCAAUUGGUCUCAAACCAGGGUUUGAUCCCAGUUUGGGCAUUUAUCUUUGCCCUAAUGACUUGCUCUUAGGUCAUACAGGUGUCAGAGUCCCAAGUGGAUUAUGGGAUGAAAGUAAUAAUCCAAGGCAAAGUUUUCAGUUUAUGCAGAAGAUUGUAAAUUCUUUUUGGAAGAGGUGGCAUCGAGAUGAUUUUUCUUCACUUUUAGUUAGGCAAAAAUGGCAUACUCGGCGUAGAAAUUUAAGACCAGGUGAUAUUGUACUUAUACAGGAAAACAGUAUUGUAAAGGGUGCAUGGAAAAUGGCCGAAGUUGCCGUAGCUGUACCUGGAAGUGAUGGUCAUGUACGACAUGUAACCUUGAGGUAUAAAGUGCAUAAACCAGGUCCACAGUACAAAGGUCAAACCGAUAUGUUAAUUAAACAGUCCGCUCAUAGACUGAUAGUUUUACUUCCUGUUGAAGAGCGUGGUGAAUGUUGAGUUAUGGUGGGGGGAGUGUAUGAUGUAAUCAUAAUUAUUUAUAAUUGUAUAUUUUGUUUGUAACAUUACAUAAUACAGAAAAUUAAUGUUAAACAAAUUAUGAAUAAUAUUAGAAACAAGUUAUUGCUCAAGGUGAUGGUGUUUUGUUGGGGAAUCAGGAGGUGGGCGAGGCGGCUGCCGGCCGUCAUUUCUGUGUGUGUGUUGACAGGUGUCGGUUGGCCUCCUAGAAGGGGGUGCAAAUGUAGGCUGAUUUCUGUUUUUGUUUAUUUGUAGAGGUAAUACGUCCAGAGUGUACUGGCAGAGGUGUAUGGCCAGCAUUGCACCGGUUAAGCAUGUAUGGGAGUUUGAUAAGGAGCGCCAAGGUGUCAGAAGCUCAAGAUAUCUAAGCAUAAGUGUAUCAGAUAUGACAAUGAUUCCUCAAGAACUCUCACGAUCAGGGCUGGGCAGGAAGGGAUGUCCUCUCUACCCACCAAUCAGGCCUGGGCAGGAAGUGAUGUUCUCUCCAACCACCAGUGGGGCCGGGGCAGGAAGUGAUGCCCUCUCUACCUACCAGAGUACCAUUACUUGACAUUUCUUAAUAGUGUCCACAUCAUUCCACUGGUAUGUCUGCUUUUAGGACAUGUGGACAGUCUCUCAGCCUGGCUGCCUUGAAGCUUCCAAUUAUAAUUCACACAUCCUUUUUGGAUACUGCUGCAGCCAGGAUGCAAAUGGACCUCGGUUUCUCAUUGCCAGACAAGUGGCAGAGGCGGCCGCAGAAGUGGCAGAGGAGGCAAAGGCUCUGGUAAAGCCCCCAACUAAUAUAUGGCUGUCCACUGACCCUAAAAGACACCCAAACAACACCAAUGUUCGUGAAGUAACAAGAAUUAUGUGCAACUACUUUUUCCAUGCCCUUUUUGCGUUGAAAUUGUACUAGAAGUUCUCUCUAUAGGAACUACAAGCUAAAGGUUUUACAGACAUUAUAUCAAAUCUGUAUUUUAAGGUGGUUGUCUUAUUGUAAGCAGGUUGGGUAUACUCAAACACGAGCAAUAUGCAAUAGCUGUAUUUUCACACAGUUCAAUACAUGAUGAGCAGCAGUGCACGUGACAAUGUUGAAGCUACGCUUACUUAAGCGAGACUGCCCCAGACUCAAUUUCUCCCAUCUUAAACACAUUUUGGCGGGAAUACAAGUAACUUUCAUAUGCAUCAUAUGGAAACAUCCUACAUCCCUUCUCUAAAAUAAAUGUAUUACACUUUUCAUGAAAUUGAAGGUUUAUCAAGUAAUUAUACAGAAGAGAAGAGUAAGGCAUACUGACGACAAAAUGGUAUUAUAUGAAAGAAAAAACAAGUCAUAUAAGUGGAACGUGAUUACGUGCUCAUUGCAAAGUAGGACGACAUUUAGUUGCAUGAAGUUGACAAGUUAUUACAAAAUGGUCACAUAGUCAGCGCAAAAAUAAAAAUGUGUAUAACUAAAGAGAAAUCAAAUUGUACAUAAUUGAAAAAUCACAAAAUGUAGUUUUGUUCAUGAAACUUACCUGACAGAUAUAUAUAUAGCUGUAUUCUCCGAAGUCCGACAGAAUUUCAAAAUUCGCGGCACACGCAGUGGGCGGCCAGGUGGUAGUACCCAUUCCCGCCGCUGGGAGGCGGAUAUCAGGAACUAUUCCCAUUUUCUAUUCAUAUUUUUUUCUGUCGCCGGUCGGUAAACAACUGUUUACAGACCUCCGCCUAGGAUUUUGAAACUUCAUUAGCCGCUUAAGUAUCCUAAUUAUUCUUUCGAUUAUUGACUGGGAUUUGUGGCUAGGCAUACGCUAUCGUAAAUUUUUUCAUUGCAUUUGAUGUCUGAAGCUAGUUAGCCUAGUUUCAGACUUUGUUGUCUGCAUGGGGUAAGGUGAGGCUACCGGAACUUUCGGUAGACACUCGCUUAGUAUAUAUGACGUUUACAUGUUUUCUUUGCAUAAGUUCAAUGUAAUUAGUGUAAUGUGUGACUGAUUACGGAAGAAGUAGGAUUCAUGUACGCAUUUUAGAGCGGGUUAGAAUCAGGAGUUUUCCUCCACAGUAAA